GUGCUCGCUUCGGCAGCAUGUAUAGUAAAAUGAACGACACAGAGAUUAGCAUGGCCCCUGCACAAGGAUGACACGCAAAUUCAUGAAGCAUUCCGUUUUUUU